rnacentral:rRNA from 1 species
CAGUAGCCGCGGUAAUACGAAGGGUGCAAGCGUUAUUCGGAAUUACUGGGCGUAAAGCGCGCGUAGGUGGUUCAUUAAGUUGGAUGUGAAAGCCCUGGGCUCAACCUGGGAACUGCAUCCAAAACUGGUGAGCUAGAGUACGGUAGAGGGUAGUGGAAUUUCCUGUGUAGCGGUGAAAUGCGUAGAUAUAGGAAGGAACACCAGUGGCGAAGGCGACUACCUGGACUGAUACUGACACUGAGGUGCGAAAGCGUGGGGAGCAAACAGGAUUAGAUACCCGGGUAGUCCCUGUCUCUUAUAC